UACGUAGGGUGCAAGCGUUAAUCGGAAUUACUGGGCGUAAAGCGUGCGCAGGCGGCUUUGCAAGACAGAUGUGAAAUCCCCGGGCUUAACCUGGGAACUGCAUUUGUGACUGCAUGGCUGGAGUGCGGCAGAGGGGGAUGGAAUUCCGCGUGUAGCAGUGAAAUGCGUAGAUAUGCGGAGGAACACCGAUGGCGAAGGCAGUCCCCUGGGCCUGCACUGACGCUCAUGCACGAAAGCGUGGGGAGCAAACGGG
rnacentral:rRNA from 1 species